ACUAUUUUGGCAGAUUAGUGCAAUAAAUUUAGAAUUUAUUUAUAUAGAUUAUUCUAUAAAUAGUA
rnacentral:tRNA from 2 species